rnacentral:rRNA from 1 species
UGAGUACGAGAUGCUACGGCAUCGAAGCAGUCUAUGUCAUACUUCCAAGAAAAGCUUGCACUGUCAGAAACAGAUAAUGCCUGUACCAUAACCGACACAGGUGGGUAGGUAGAGUAUACUAAGGGGCGCGAGAUAACUCUCUCUAAGGAACUCGGCAAAAUGACUCCGUAACUUCGGGAGAAGGAGUGCCUUAUUUUUAAGGUUGCAAUAACAAGAUCCAAGCAACUGUUUACCAAAAACACAGGUCUCCGCUAAGUCGUAAGACGAUGUAUGGGGGCUGACGCCUGCCCAGUGCCAGAAGGUUAAAGAAGUCGGUUAGCAUUCGCGAAGCUGGUAACUGAAGCCCUGGUGAACGGCGGCCGUAACUAUAACGGUCCUAAGGUAGCGAAAUUCCUUGUCGGGUAAGUUCCGACCCGCACGAAAGGCAUAAUGAUUUGGAUACUGUCUCGGAGAGGGGCUCGGUGAAAUAGACUUGUCUGUGAAGAUGCGGACUACCUGCACCUGGACAGAAAGACCCUAUGAAGCUUUACUGUAACUUGAAAUUGAAAUUGGACUUUAUUUGCGCAGUAUAGGUGGGAGGCGUUGAAAAUAUUCUUGCGGGAAUAUUGGAGCCAUCAGUGAGAUACCACUCUUGUAAUGUUAGAUUUCUAACUUUAUAUCAUAUCUGGUUAAAGAACAGUUUCAGGCGGGCAGUUUGACUGGGGCGGUCGCCUCCCAAAUGGUAACGGAGGCGCACAAAGGUUUCCUCUGAACGGGUAGAAAUCGUAUCUAGAGUGUAAAGGCAUAAGGAAGCUUGACUGUGAGACCUACAAGUCGAGCAGGGACGAAAGUCGGUCUUAGUGAUCCGACGGUGCUGAGUGGAAAGGCCGUCACUCAACGGAUAAAAGUUACUCUAGGAUAACAGGCUGAUCUCCCCCAAGAGUUCACAUCGACGGGGAGGUUUGGCACCUCGAUGUCGGCUCAUCGCAUCCUGGGGCGGUAGUACGUCCCAAGGGUUGGGCUGUUCGCCCAUGAAAGCGGUACGCGAGCUGGGUUCAGAACGUCGUGAGACAGUUCGGUCCAUAUCCGGUGUAGGCGUUAGAAUAUUGAGAGGAGCCUUCUUUAGUACGAGAGGACCGAGAAGGACAUACCUCUGGUGUACCAGUUAUCGUGCCAACGGUAAACGCUGGGUAGCUAUGUAUGGAGUGGAUAACCGCUGAAAGCAUCUAAGUGGGAAGCCCACCUCAAGAUAAG